rnacentral:rRNA from 1 species
UACACAAAAAUACCAAACACACCAAACAAAUCAUUUGACUAAAAAAGUAGAUGCGAUCGAACACUAAAACAGGCACAAAUCAGUACCGCAAGGGAAACAAUUACACUUAAGCAAAAAACAGCAAAGAUUAACUCUUGUACCUUUUGCAUCAUGGUUUAGCAAGAACACAAAAGAUAAGAAGAAUCAAAACCUAAUAAACCCGAAACCAGAUGAGCUACUUCAAAGCAGCCUUUAGGGCACAUCCCCCUCUGUAGCAAAAGAGCGGAAAGACUUAAAAGUAGAGGUGAAACGCCUACCGAACCUGGAGAUAGCUGGCUACCCAAAAAAGAAUAUCAGUUCUACUUUAGACCUAACAUACACACAAUAGUUCUCUAAAGACACUCAACGGGGGUACAGCCCCAUUGAAACAGGAUACAACCUGAACUUGAGAGCAAAAACCCAAACUAAACAAGUAGGCCUUAAAGCAGCCACCUAAAAAAAUAUCGUUUAAGAAUUAUAACAAUAAAAUCCCAAAUCAAAUCAAAUACUCCAAGCAAACUAAGGGUAAAUUUAUAACAAUAAAUAAACUUAUGCUAAAACUAUUAAUAAGACAAAAUCUCUACGCACAACCAUUCACUAGAAACAGAAACCCUACUAGUAAUCAACAGACCACAAAAGGAAUAAAACUAACCCACUACACAACCUUUUAACCAACUGUAACCCCAACACAGGUGUGCCCAAAAGAAAGACAAAACAUUACAAAAGGAAUUCGGCAACCAAUGACUCCAACUGUUUACCAAAAACAUAACCUUUAGCAAAACCAAUAUUAAAGGCAACGCCUGCCCAGUGAAACUAAUUCAACGGCCGCGGUACCCUAACCGUGCAAAGGUAGCGUAAUCAUUUGUCUAUUAAUUGUAGACCAGUAUGAAAGGCCACAUGAGAGUCAGACUGUCUCUUGUAAUCACUCAAUUAAACUGAUCUUCUAGUACAAAAGCUAGAAUAAACAUAUAAGACCAGAAGACCCUGUGAAGCUUAAACUAACCCGUUAAACCUAAUAACGGCCACUUUCGGUUGGGGCGACCUUGGAACAAAACAAAACUUCCAAACAACACUGAAUAUAUUCAUAUAUCCAGGCCAACAAGCCACCUACACUGACCCAGUCUCACUGAUCAAUGAACCAAGUUACUCCAGGGAUAACAGCGCCAUCUUCUUCAAGAGCCCAUAUCAAAAAGAAGGUUUACGACCUCGAUGUUGGAUCAGGACACCCAAAUGGUGCAGCCGCUAUUAAAGGUUCGUUUGUUCAACGAUUAACAGUCCUACGCGAUCU